rnacentral:RNase_P_RNA from 1 species
AGAGCCGGCCGGACAGUCGCUGCUUUCUGGCUACGGCCGGAAAGGGGAGGAAAGUCCGGGCUCCGCAGGGCAAGACGCCAGGUAACACCUGGGAGGCGCAAGCCUACGGAAAGUGCCACAGAAAAUAACCGCCUAAGCGCGCAAGCGCCGGUAAGGGUGAAAAGGUGCGGUAAGAGCGCACCGCGCGGCUGGUAACAGUCCGUGGCCAGGCAAACCCCGUCGGGAGCAAGACCAAAUAGGAAUCCGUUGGCGUGGCCCGCGCUGGAUUCGGGUAGGUUGCUUGAGGUCGUCAGUGAUGGCGAUCCCAGAUGAAUGACUGUCCACGACAGAACCCGGCUUACAGGCUGGCUCUUGCC